GAUGAACGCUGGCGGCGUGCCUAAUACAUGCAAGUAGAACGCUGAAGGAGGAGCUUGCUCUUCUGGAUGAGUUGCGAACGGGUGAGUAACGCGUAGGUAACCUGCCUGGUAGCGGGGGAUAACUAUUGGAAACGAUAGCUAAUACCGCAUGACAACAGUUAUUGCAUGAUAACUGUUUAAAAGGGGCAACUGCUCCACUACCAGAUGGACCUGCGUUGUAUUAGCUAGUUGGUGAGGUAACGGCUCACCAAGGCGACGAUACAUAGCCGACCUGAGAGGGUGAUCGGCCACACUGGGACUGAGACACGGCCCAGACUCCUACGGGAGGCAGCAGUAGGGAAUCUUCGGCAAUGGACGGAAGUCUGACCGAGCAACGCCGCGUGAGUGAAGAAGGGUUUCGAAUCGUAAAGCUCUGUUGUAAGAGAAGAACGAGUGUGAGAGUGGAAAGUUCACACUGUGACGGUAUCUUACCAGAAAGGGACGGCUAACUACGUG
rnacentral:rRNA from 1 species